rnacentral:misc_RNA from 1 species
AACGCACAUUGCGCCCCGGACCUCGGUCUUGGGCAUGUCUGCCUCAGUGUCCCGCACAUCUGCACCCUCCUCUCCCCCUCCCCGGCUCUCCUUCGCGAGGGGCGGGGGCGGGAGCGCGCGAGGGCGCGAUCUGGCCGUCUCGACCCGCGAGGGUCGCGUCGGCCGAAGCGGAGCGCGAUCCGGGCCGCGACCCCUUCGCGGCCGCUCUCGGAGCUUUGACGGUGGUCCUCGCGAUCUUCGAUCUCAGCAGCUUCGAGCGGCGGUCCCGCCUGUGGGCGUCUGCGGCUCCGGGUUGCCCAAUGCCAGGAACCUGUUUCUCACAUUGGACCUGAGCUCAGGCAAGACUACCCGCUGAACUUAA